GUAGCUACGUGAACGUUCUGUCGGGGAUCCUGGGAUGGGCCUGUCUUGGAUGAUAAAGGCAUGUCAGUGUGUGUACAGAGACCCUUCUCUGAGCCAAGUCCUAAGCCCACACCUUGAUGGACUGCAACUUAGUGGUCACGGUGUCCCCGAGGACAGACUUCUUCGUUCUCCAACUUAAGGACAAGGAUGAGACUCUGAGACAGGAAGGAGCUUGCCUGAGGCGGUGGGGCCGGAACUGACCGCAGAAUGUCCGGCUUCCACCCAGCAGGUACUGUCCUGCAGCUGCCCAGAUAGUCUGGGCACUCACUACCUGCCGAGUUCUGCCAGACAGUCCCCUCGAGAGGGUGAUGAGGACAGUGACAGGCAUGGCCAAGUUGGAGAAGCGAAUUCUCAAAAAGCGCGGAGAGUGCAAGACCAUUUUUAUAAGAAACAAAACCAAAAGCACCUACGUCUUUCCUUAGAUCCGUGUGUAGGUGAAGGAACAGAGAAGAAUCUGGAAGGAGACGCACCAGACUGGUGCCAAAGCAGGCCACACGGCCAAACUCAAAGUCACAGGCGAAGAGCGAUAUCCUGCCUCUUCAGUGGAAGACACCACAAAGCCUCACGACGGAGCGUGGCUGUAAGGAGAGGCGAAGACUUGGGACCAUGAAUGCAAUCUGCCACAGGCUGAGGUCAGAGAGAAGAGCCAUCGCCAGAGCCACCCCGUCCUCCUUUGCCCAUCCUACCUCCUGUCACUACGUCGGUGGCCUGAACUCGCCGGCCAGCCCGAGGGCUGGAGAUUGGGGGCGAUGCCUUCCGCAAAGUCCCCCGGGACGAGGCAGGGAAGGAAGAGUGGCUCUGGAGGCACUGUGGAGGCUGUCCGGCUCACAGGGCUGAGAGCCACCGACCCUGAGGGCAUCUCUCCGCUGGCUCCGGGCUCUGAGGUUUCCCACCACUCCAGCGUCCUUCUUCCUGCACUCACUGCACAUCCAAGAGGGUAAGAUUCAAACGUCGCUGUGAGUAAGAAUGCCAUCAACCGGUUGGCCUACUGUUAAAUUGUCUUCCUUUCCCUGAUGCCGUCCCCUUCCUGCGGCACUGGUCCAGACAUGCCAACGAGUCCUGUCAUCGGGGGUGAAUGAGGACCCGACAAAGGAAAAUGUGCUCAAACACGGAGUGUGGUGUAUGGUGUAUAGGGACUGCUCCUUCCUGUUACUGUUAUUUUCCAUACAGAGCAAGGAUCCAAAUCCAUUUACCAAGGGCAUGGCGUCCUGGCCUGGGGAAAUGUUGUCCUGGGAAGGUGGGAAUCCUGCUGACCACAAAGUAUCAGCCUAUGCCCUCCAGUCUAGACAGAUUCGUGGUUGUUUCUUCUUCUUCUUCUUCUUCUUCUUCUUCUUCUUCUUCUUCUUCUUCUUCUCCUUCUCCUUCUCCUUC